UAUGUGAUCGUCUCUCGCAUAUCAAUAAGCGGAGGAAAAGAAACUAACAAGGAUUCCCCUAGUAACGGCGAGUGAAGCGGGAAGAGCUCAAAUUUGAAAUCUUAAAGGGUUUCCCUUUACGAAUUGUAGUUUAAAGAAGUGUUUUCUGUUGAGGUUUUGGUAAAAGUUCUUUGGAAUAGGACAUCAUAGAGGGUGAGAAUCCCGUAUUUGACCUUUACUUUCAACUUUGUGAUACACUUUCAAAGAGUCGGAUUGUUUGGGAAUGCAGUCCAAAAUGGGUGGUAAAUUACAUCUAAAGCUAAAUAUUGGCGAGAGACCGAUAGCGAACAAGUACCGUGAGGGAAAGAUGAAAAGAACUUUGAAAAGAGAGUUAAACAGUACGUGAAAUUGUCAAAAGGGAAGCGUUUGACACCAGUGUUGUUUUUCUGAAAAUCAAUUAAAGAACUGUUUAUGCUAAGUUGUUUAGACUUUAUCAGCUAACUGUUUAGUUUUGAGCUUUUCUUUAAUGCACUUUUCAGUUAACAAGUCAACAUCAAUUUCUUUUGCUGUAAAAAAGCUUGAGGAAGGUGGCUUGAGAUUCGUCUUAAGUGUUUAUAGCCUCUUGCCUAUGCAGUCGGAGAGAUUGAGGUCUGCAGCGUAGAUCCUUCGGGGCUAAAUGCAUUUGUGCUAAGUUAUAGCAUUUUAUAGACAACUUGUUGACUAUGAUUUGUCUUGUAGCUUACUCGCUUAUGUUAUUUUACCUACGCUUAGGAUGUUGACUGAUAUGUAGUCGUA
rnacentral:rRNA from 1 species